rnacentral:miRNA from 1 species
GGGCCGCGGACGCUCCCUCGUGGCAGGCCGCGCCGACCGUUAGCUGGGCUGAGCGGGCGGAGCCGGGGGCGGUGC